GUGACAAUGGUGUAAUGGUUAGCAUUGUUGCUUCCCAAGCAAUAGAUCCGAGUUCAACUCCCGGUUGUUGCA
rfam:Tetranychus urticae London genomic scaffold, scaffold_8